rnacentral:rRNA from 1 species
UACGUAGGGUGCGAGCGUUAAUCGGAAUUACUGGGCGUAAAGCGUGCGCAGGCGGUUUUGUAAGCCAGAUGUGAAAUCCCCGGGCUUAACCUGGGAAUGGCAUUUGUGACUGCAUGGCUAGAGUACGGUAGAGGGGGAUGGAAUUCCGCGUGUAGCAGUGAAAUGCGUAGAUAUGCGGAGGAACACCGAUGGCGAAGGCAGCCCCCUGGGCUGAGAUUGACGCUCAGGCACGAAAGCGUGGGGAGCAAACAGG